rnacentral:rRNA from 1 species
GACGAACGCUGGCGGCGUGCUUAACACAUGCAAGUCGAACGGAAAGGCCCUGCUUUUGUGGGGUGCUCGAGUGACGAACGGGUGAGUAACACGUGAGUAACCUGCCCUUGACUUUGGGAUAACUUCAGGAAACUGGGGCUAAUACCGGAUAGGAGCUCCUGCUGCAUGGUGGGGGUUGGAAAGUUUCGGCGGUUGGGGAUGGACUCGCGGCUUAUCAGCUUGUUGGUGGGGUAGUGGCUUACCAAGGCUUUGACGGGUAGCCGGCCUGAGAGGGUGACCGGCGACAUUGGGACUGAGAUACGGCCCAGACUCCUACGGGAGGCAGCAGUCGGGAAUAUUGCAGAAUGGGCGAAAACCUGAUGCAGCAACGCCGCGUGCGGGAUGACGGCCUUCGGGUUGUAAACCGCUUUCGCCUGUGACGAAGCGUGAGUGACGGUAAUGGGUAAAGAAGCACCGGCUAACUACGUG